CGGCACAAGAAGCAUGUGGCAGGGUCCCUGGUUCGUGGUGCUGCUUUUCAGCUGUAGAAGCGUGGCUCAGACCCUGACCCAACCCAGAGCAUCGAUUACUGCACCUGUCGGGAAAGCUGUGAGCGUUCGGUGUCAAGUGAAAGACAUCUCCGUCAGCAGCAAUGAUCCCCUUCACUGGUACCAACAGAAACCCGGCAAACCGCUCCAAAGGAUACUCUAUUAUGGAGAUAGCGUAACGCGGGAUUCGGAAUUCGGAAAAUCCUUCAGCGCGGGAAAAUCAUCAGAUUCCAAAUUCUAUCUCACAAUCGAAGUUAACGCUGAAAGCGCUGCCACCUAUUACUGCGCCUACUGGGUUAACACAGUAUGUAAUAGAUAA